GUCUAAGUCCAUACCACUUGGAAAGCACUGGUUCUCGUCUGAUCACCAAAGUUAAAACAAGUCGGGCGAAGUUAGUACUUGGGUGGGUGACCUCUUAGGAAUACUUCGUGUCGUAGGCU
rnacentral:rRNA from 1 species